rnacentral:lncRNA from 1 species
GGGGUAACAUUAAAGUAUUAGAACAUGAAGGAUAAACAAUAAAGCAUCAAGACACUAUCAAACAUGUAUCCGUCUUUCCGCAACAGAGCCAUCCUUAUGUGUGAGGGUGCGUGUGCAUGAUAGUGAUAUAAAAUAUGUCAUAGCUUCCUUUUUCAUGAUCACAAUCUAGUGAAGCCUGAACCCUCCAAGAUCUCCCCACAGUUCCCCAAUAGCUGUCCCUCAACCCUCCAAGAUCUCCCCACAGUUCCCCAAUAGCUGUCCCUCAACCCUCCAAGAUCCCCCCACACUGUCCCUCAACCCUCCAAGAUCCCCCACAGUUCCCCAAUAGCUGUCCCUCAACCCUCCAAGAUCCCCCCACAGUUCCCCAAUAGCUGUCCCUCAACCCUCCAAGACCCCCCCACAGUUCCCCAAUAGCUGUCCCUCAACCCUCCAAGAUCCCCCCACAGUUCCCCAAUAGCUGUCCCUCAACCCUCCAAGAUCCCCCCACAGUUCCCCAAUAGCUGUCCCUCAACCCUCCAAGAUCCCCCCACAGUUCCCCAAUAGCUGUCCCUCAACCAUUCGAAAAAAGGAAAAGACAGAAGAAAACAGAAAACAAUGCAAAAAAAAUAAAACAACAUAAUAAAUUUAAAACAAAGGACAUCAAGGACAACUGAAAUCAUAACAGCAAUGCCUACUUUAUAUGUUUGUGUGCAUGUCUGGCACUAUUACAUGUAUGUGUGUGUUCUUGUAUGUGUUUAUUUGAAUGAGAGUGUGUGUACAAACACCUGCAUCACAUCAGCCUCAGGCAAACCGGCAUUAGUUGUAAAAACACUGCCACUUAGUGUCAUUCAAAUGUACUUUUUUUCUCCUUUAUCUUUUGAGCAUCAUUCUCACUCUCACACAGCAACUCCACUCCCACUUGUCUCCAAUUCCACAUACCAACCCUCAGCCCAUCCCAUCUAUCUCUGCUGGCCACCCACUUCGUGUUUCUAUGCAACGCAUAUCUUUCAACUAUGCUAUGAUGUUUAACGUACAAUUUCAAUCUAUCUAAUUGAAUAGAAUCUACAGAUUGCGUGUUGAAGAUAAAUACUUUUACUAAGAGUAUUAGUAUAUUAGUAAAUGACUGACCCGGUCUCUCCAGAUUCAGACCCUUUGACUUUUUCCACAUUUUGUUACAUUACAGCCUUGUUCUAAAAUGGAUUCCCC